AUUGAACGCUGGCGGCAUGCCUUACACAUGCAAGUCGAACGGCAGCAUUAUCUUGUUUGCUAGUUUUAUGGCGACUGGCGUACGGUUGUGUCAUACAUCUGAACGUGCCCUUUAGUUUGGGAUUACUAGUCGAACUAUUUUCUAAUACCGCAUACUACCUGAGGCUGUAUGUGCGGGACCUCUUGGCCUCUUGCUUUUGCCUCUGCCGAUGUCUGAUUAUCUAGUUGGUGAGGUAAAGGCUCACCAAGGCUACGAUCAGUAGCUGGUAUGAGAGGAGGAUAAGCAACACUGGGACUGAGACACGGCGCAGACGCCUACGGGAGGCAGCAGUGGGGAAUUUUGGACAAUGGGCGAAAGCCUGAUCCAGCAAUGCCGCGUGUGUGAAGAAGGCCUUCGGGUUGUAAAGCACUUUUGUCCGGAAAGAAAAGGCUCUGGUUAAUACCUGGGGUGGAUGACGGUACCGGAAGAAUAAGGACCGGCUAACUACGUG
rnacentral:rRNA from 1 species